CCUGCAAGAACUAGGCUAUUGCAAAGAGGCGAAGCAAAAAGCAACAUAGAGAGAGUAAGGAAGAUGAAGAUUAUGAAAGAGGAGAGAGAGCCAGAGGUGGAGAGAGAGCCAGAGGUGGUGGUUGGAGAGGUGGAAAGUGAGGCAUCUGAAAGGCAAUCUGAGAGUGAGGAUGAAGACAUUCAGGAUCAGAUUGAGGGACAGAAUGAGGGACAACCCAACGAGUCAUUGGGACAACCAGAUUCACCAUGCAUAUCAAGUACAGCACCAUCAGAUAUCAGCAAGUGCUUGGACGACACUCCAGUGCAGCCACAUCUGAAGAAAAGAUUCAUUGUAUGCAAAAAUAUAAAUCUUAUUUUACAAAAAAGAGAAACAUGGUUUUAAGAUUUAUUGAGCACAAUUUAUUUUAUGUUUAGGCUAUUGAGACAGAAUGUUUCUCUCAUUGUAUUUAUGCUCAAUGUAUUUUGUUUUGGUUUUAAAUAAACUAAACUAAACAUUUUGAACGCUUAAAUAUUGCCAUGUUUUGUCCAUAUGUGCCCCCCUGAAAAAACACUGGCCCCACCUCGGCCCCCCUAGUAAUUUUGGUCUAGAA